GAGGGUAUAGCUCAGGGGUAGAGCGCAUGCUUAGCAUGCCUCCGGUUCUGGGUUCAAUCCCCAGUGCCUUCA
rnacentral:tRNA from 1 species